GCCCCGAUAGCUCAGCUGGCCAGAGCGCUUCCUUGGUAAGGAAGAAGUCCCGGAUUCGAAUUCCGGUCGGGGCU
rnacentral:tRNA from 1 species